AUUUUGCAGUGGCGGAAUGGGCUAAUGAGGCACUUCGAGGACUGGGAAAAAGGGCACCCUUUUUUCUCAACGUCACAAAUACUUGUUUUUCUAGUUGCAUCAGCAUUAGCAAAACGGUGUAAUGAAAGCUGAAUACCGCGUUGCAGUAAGAUCUGCACCCCGAAGUGAUUUUUGGCUGAUGGUGUCCGGGCAGUUUUGGUGGACCAGGACCAGAAGACAGAGAGAAAUCCUUGUAGAGUUGAGGAUGAAAUGGAGAUGCUCUCUUUCAGCCAUUUCCACCAAGAACAAGUGGAACUGAAGGUAUGAUCGACAUCACAUCGAGAUGGAAGCUGCUAAACGGCGAGAAACAAAAAUAAGACAUGGGAAUGCUCGUUAGUUCUACACCUAAUAAAUUAAUCUUGAACUUCUCACUAUUGUUCGUCGCCUAUAUAAAUCUAUACUUCGGUUGAACAUAGUAAGCUUCAGUAAGAACGUGUUUGUCCCAGAGAGGUACUACUAUCUUGCUGGUUGAUAUCUCAGAACAGGCUUCUGAGAUGGUGAAAGUAGGGAUUUGAUAUGGCCAUCAUAUUCCCUGUUCUGUAGUCGAAAGGUAAAGACUUCUGAAUUGGUGAACUGGAGGCAAUGCGUAUCAUGUGUGUGUGUUCAGUUGACUGUGUUCAUAAAGAUGUAUGUAUCUUUUGUUCUUCUUUUUAUUUCUGGGUUGUAGAACUUCAAUUGGUCCUUCAAUUAUGGUGAUAACAAAUCUUGGGGACCCCUAAACUGGAUUGGGGAUGCCACCACUAUCUUAACCUUUUCGUAAGAAGAAGAUGAUGUGUUGUUGGUGGGGGGUGGACCAAUUAUAUGCGGUUGGUCACACAACUGCUUGAUCCAAAAACAAAAAAGAAAAGAUGAAAGAAAUGGGAAUUAUGUUGUCGGUAGUU